rnacentral:rRNA from 1 species
UACGGGGGGGGUAAGCGUUGUUCGGAAUUACUGGGCGUAAAGGGUCUGUAGGUGGCUUGCUAAGUCAGACGUGAAAUCCCUCAGCUUAACUGGGGAACUGCGUCUGAGACUGGCGAGCUUGAGUGCAGGAGAGGAACGCGGAAUUCCAGGUGUAGCGGUGAAAUGCGUAGAUAUCUGGAGGAAUACCGGUGGCGAAGGCGGCAUCCUGGACCGGCAUUGACGCUGAUGAGCGAAAGCCAGGGGAGCAAACGGG